AUUUAACCAAACCUUACAACAAUCAGGGGUUUUGGUAUUGAUUCAACAGAUACUGUGGCAGCCCAUCCCUAAACGACAAAUUGCUUAGCACCAUAAAUAUAUAUAUAUAUUCCUUUAUACACAGAGGCAUGCAUUCUUCACGCUUUACCAUGUGUUGACACAUCAUAUAUAUUUUCUCUGCACUGAAUAAUGCAGCUACCACUCAUUUCCCCUCACAUCUGCCUGUAAAUUCCAUGCUUUUGCCAUAUGUAUUUUGUUAUGGCUAGAAAAAUAGCCUUACCUUUACAGUUCCAGGUUCUGUCUUCCUUGGGAAAUGUGGUGUGUUCAUGGUUAAAUCAUUCUGAGUGAAUCCGUAAGAGACACAUUUCCAAUCAAGAUGACACAGUUUGUGGUUUUCUUAUCAGUUAAUUGGUCAAAUUUGUGUUUAUAUUUCAUGGUUUUGCAGCAGAAUGUAAAUCUGAUAUAGGAAGAUUAUAGUUACUGUGAAAGGUCAGCCAGUGGUACCGUGGCUGUAUUGUUAGCAAUUCUAGAGAUAGAUUGUUAAAACCUGUCUUAAAUAUUCUUAGACUAUGCUACAGAUUUGUGACGUAUUCAAAGACAUAACAUAUGUUGUUAAACGUAUCUCAAACAAACAAACAAACAAACAAAAAAACGCAAUAAGUUUUCCAGUAUCUAUUUCUGUGCAGCCUAGGCUAUAAGCACACCCUGAAAGCCACAGCUCUAGGGGAAGAGUGUACAACCUUUUGGCUUGCCUGGACCGCAUUGAUUAAAGAGGAAUAGUUUUGGGCCACAUUGGUUGCUUCGAAAGUAAUGCCUCCUAUUUAUUUCAAUGGAAAUGAAAAUUAAUACAAAGACCACAAGAGCACUGUCUCAUAGGGCAGAUUUUCAGCUACAAAACUCUAUUUUUCAAUAUAGUCACCACCAUUAGCUAUGUGUUUUCACCAGUGAUGAACAAGAAACAUCACUCUGCAGUCAUAAAAAUCUGCACCAGCAGGGGUGACUCAGUGUCACCACUGUUGAAAUAUACCAUCCACCACGUCACUGUGCUUACAUCCACUGUUUGGUCCCCAUAAAUAUUUAGCAAGAAUCGAUGAAUGUCAUUGGAUGCCAUUUUUUCCACAUGAAGGAACUGAAUGACGCACCUUUUGCUUCAUAGGCACUUCUAUGUCAGAUCCCAUUUUUUCAGACUGCCCCUCCAUGGUGAAGAGCUGCUGCCUUUAUAGUGUGGGGAAGGGGCCAGUCUCAUUGCCAGUUGUGCUGGGCCAUGGAUCAGCCAUGCCUACUCUGGAGCAUGAAAUUUGACAACUCUGACAGCAGAGCUCAGCUGAGGUUAUUUGAGCCCCAUUCUGCAUUGUUUGACGUGUAAGAACAGUGGUGUUUCUGAGUUUGGCACAUCGUCCUGUCCAGGUUGCUGGCUUCACAACAUUAAGUCUGGACUUGCUAAGUGCUUCUGUUCAGCUCUGGUUCAAAGCUUUGGCACUUUUCUGUAGGAAGCACUCCUGUUACAUGGGAAUCCAAG
rnacentral:lncRNA from 1 species